AGAGUUUGAUCCUGGCUCAGGACGAACGCUGGCGGCGUGCUUAACACAUGCAAGUCGAGCGGUAAGGCCCUUUCGGGGGUACACGAGCGGCGAACGGGUGAGUAACACGUGAGUAAUCUGCCCUUCACUUUGGGAUAACCACCGGAAACGGUGGCUAAUACCGGAUAUGACCAUUCCUCGCAUGGGGGGUGGUGGAAAGUUCUGGCGGUGGAGGAUGUGCUCGCGGCCUAUCAGCUUGUUGGUGAGGUAAUGGCUCACCAAGGCUUCGACGGGUAGCCGGCCUGAGAGGGUGACCGGCCACACUGGGACUGAGACACGGCCCAGACUCCUACGGGAGGCAGCAGUGGGGAAUAUUGGACAAUGGGCGAAAGCCUGAUCCAGCAACGCCGCGUGAGGGAUGACUGCCUUCGGGUUGUAAACCUCUUUCAGUACCGACGAAGCGAGAGUGACGGUAGGUACAGAAGAAGCACCGGCCAACUACGUG
rnacentral:rRNA from 1 species